rnacentral:rRNA from 1 species
AGGAGCUUGCUCUUGAUUAUUUUAGCGGCGGACGGGUGAGUAACGUGUGGGCAACCUGCCUUUUACUGGGGAAUAAUCACUGGAAACGGUGACUAAUACCGCAUACGGUUCUUGGAAGGCAUCUUCUAGGAAAGAAAGGAUUUAUUCGGUAAAAGAUGGGCCCGCAUCUGAUUAGCUAGUUGGUGAGAUAAUAGCCCACCAAGGCAACGAUCAGUAGCCGACCUGAGAGGGUGACCGGCCACAUUGGGACUGAGACACGGCCCAAACUCCUACGGGAGGCAGCAGUGGGGAAUAUUGCACAAUGGGGGAAACCCUGAUGCAGCAACGCCGCGUGAAGGAAGACGGUUUUCGGAUUGUAAACUUCUAUCAAUAGGGAAGAAAGAAAUGACGGUACCUAAAUAAGAAGCCCCGGCUAACUACGUGCCAGCAGCCGCGGUAAUACGUAGGGGGCAAGCGUUAUCCGGAAUUACUGGGUGUAAAGGGAGAGUAGGCGGCAAGGUAAGCGAUAUGUGAAAGCCUUAGGCUUAACCUGAGGAUAGCAUAACGAACUAUCUAGCUAGAGUACAGGAGAGGAAAGCGGAAUUCUUAGUGUAGCGGUGAAAUGCGUAGAUAUUAGGAAGAACACCAGUGGCGAAGGCGGCUUUCUGGACUGAAACUGACGCUGAGGCUCGAAAGCGUGGGGAGCGAACAGGAUUAGAUACCCUGGUAGUCCACGCUGUAAACGAUGAGUGCUAGGUGUCGA